GUUUCUUCUAACAGUGGAGGCAGAAACCCUCCAAAGUGACUUAAUAAUUCUGUAUUAGCAGCCAGGGCAAAAUGUAGUGUGGGGGAGGGAAGCAUCUUCCUGGCGUUGCUUCCUUGAUGAGGUGAAAUUUGUGUGGGGCUUGAAGGAGAAACCAUGCACUUGGAAAACAGUUGGAAUGAAAGGAAAAGCAGAUGAGUCUUCCUGCUAAACUAAUUUCUGGUGCGUCUCGCCUUGAAGUGCCUUAAACGCAUGUUGGUGACCAAGAAGAAACUCAGAAAAGAGGAAGGCCUAGUGGAGAUGCGGAGACAAAGCCCCAUGGACUGUAAUCUGCCAGACUCCUCUGUCCAUGAGAUUCUCCAGGCAAGAAU